rfam:Triticum aestivum genome assembly, contig: Triticum_aestivum_CS42_TGACv1_scaffold_526929_6DL
UUUGUACUCCAUCCGUCCGGAAAAACUGGUCCCAAAAUUGUUCCUUAAAUGGAUAUAUCUAGCACUAAGCUGGUGUUAGAUAUAUCCAUUUAAGUGAUAAGUUUUUUCGGACGGAGGGAGUAGAUU